CAACAUAUAAAAAAAAUACUUAAUAUGAUAAACAAAAAGUUUGCACAUUAUUAACAUUUAAGUAUUUCUGAUCAUGAUGUUUAAGAUACUUAUUUAUUUACCUAUAAAUAUUUAGACAUUUGUUUAACAUACCACUCACAAUUAGUCUCCAUUUUUCAUUUCUUUGAAAUCAAAUUUUUUUUAUAAUGGAAUCAUUAAUAAAAAUGUUCUUCAAGUUUUUGGUGCUUUUUGUUGCGAUUACAAGUGCUCUCGCUAUCAACAUACAAGGCUUACAACCUUGCUGUGAACCAGAAGUGCCAUGUGACCCACAAAGGUGUAAGAAGGCUCCAUGUUGCAUCCCUCCAUCUAGUAAUCGAAAGCCCUAAAAUAUUGAUUAUAUUGUAUUUCCUUCACACCAAUCAUUUUCAACAUGAGAAUCAUUCAUCUCAUAUAUAAUAAUUAUAUUAAUAAGAUUGGUUAUUGAAAUAUUAUUUUGAAA